ACAAACGACUCUCGGCAACGGAUAUCUCGGCUCACGCAUCGAUGAAGAACGUAGCAAAAUGCGAUACUUGGUGUGAAUUGCAGAAUCCCGUGAACCAUCGAGUUUUUGAACGCAAGUUGCGCCCGAAGCCAUUCGGCCGAGGGCACGUCUGCUUGGGCGUCACGCA
rnacentral:rRNA from 1 species